UACAGAGGUGGCCAGCGUUGUUCGGAAUUACUGGGCGUAAAGGGCGCGUAGGCGGUCCGAUAAGUCCCGUGUGAAAUCCCUCGGCUCAACUGAGGAAUGGCACGGGAAACUGCCGGGCUUGAGUUCGGGAGAGGGAAGCGGAAUUCCGGGUGUAGCGGUGAAAUGCGUAGAUAUCUGGAGGAACACCGGUGGCGAAGGGGACAUCCUGGACCAACACUGACGCUGAGUGAGCGAAAGCCAGGGGAGCAAACGGG
rnacentral:rRNA from 1 species